rnacentral:rRNA from 1 species
GCUACGCAUGCAGUUGAACGAGAAAGCUCUCUUCGGAGAGCGAGUAAAGUGGCGAACGGGUGAGUAACACGCUGGUGACCUGCCCCGAGGUGGGGGACAACCGUGGGAAACCACGGCUAAUACCCCAGAUGUCUAAGUUUUUAGAAAGCUUAGACUAAAGUUCCGGCGCCUCGGGAGGGGCCUGCGGGCUAUCAGCUUGUUGGUAGGGUAACGGCCUACCAAGGCAAAGACGGCUAGGGGGCGUGAGAGCGCGACCCCCCACAAUGGAACUGAGACACGGUCCAUACUCCUACGGGAGGCAGCAGCGAGGAAUAUUGCCCAAUGGGGGAAACCCUGAGGCAGCAACGCCGCGUGGAUGAUGAAGGCCUUCGGGUUGUAAAAUCCUUUUCUGAGGGAAGAUAAUGACGGUACCUCAGGAAUAAGUCCCGGCUAACUACGUGCCAGCAGCCGCGGUAAAACGUAGGGGGCGAGCGUUAUCCGGAUUUAUUGGGCGUAAAGCGCACGUAGGCGGCGCUGUAAGUUGGACGUGAAAGCUCCCGGCUCAACUGGGAGAGGUCGUUCAAAACUACAGUGCUUGAGGUUGGAAGAGGAGAGUGGAAUUCCCGGUGUAGUGGUGGAAUGCGUAGAUAUCGGGAGGAACACCAGUGGCGAAAGCGACUCUCUGGUCCACACCUGACGCUGAGGUGCGAAAGCGUGGGGAGCGAACGGGAUUAGAUACCCCGGUAGUCCACGCCGUAAACGAUGGAUACUAGGUGUAGGGGGUCACUUAACCCCUCUGUGCCGGAGCUAACGCGUUAAGUAUCCCGCCUGGGGACUACCA